rnacentral:rRNA from 2 species
CACGUAGGGGGCGAGCGUUGUUCGGAAUCAUUGGGCGUAAAGGGUGCGCAGGCGGCAUGCCAAGUCUGGUGUGAAAGAUCCCGGCUCAACCGGGGAGACGCACUGGAAACUGGCGUGCUGGAGUACAGGAGGGGGAGUUGGAAUUCCAGGUGUAGGGGUGAAAUCUGUAGAUAUCUGGAAGAACACCGGUGGCGAAGGCGAACUCCUGGCCAUGUACUGACGCUGAGGCACGAAGGCGUGGGGAGCAAAC